UACGAGUGCUUCAAGCGUUGUCCGGAAUCAUUGGGCGUAAAGAGCGUGUAGGCGGCCACUUAAGUCCUGCGUGAAAUCUUGCGGCUCAACCGCAAGCGGUCGUGGGAAACUGGGUGGCUAGAGUGCGGGAGAGGAGAGUGGAAUUCCUGGUGUAGCGGUGGAAUGCGCAGAUAUCAGGAAGAACACCCGUGGCGAAGGCGGCUCUCUGGAACGCAACUGACGCUGAGACGCGAAAGCGUGGGGAGCAAACAGG
rnacentral:rRNA from 1 species